GUUUGUCUUAUGUAUUUUUCCUACGCUUAACUUUCUUUGACUAAAGGGGGAGCUUAAGUAAGCUCCAUCUCCUGUGUCAAAAAAAGUUUUACCACAACACUCACCCCUCCUCCCUGAUCUUGCGUUGCUUCAUUCACCAUGCUCAAUAGGGCACCAGCGACAGGGCUGCCAUCAGAAAUUUUGGGACCCCUGACACAGCCCAAAGUCUGGGGCCCACCCCUAAGCCCGCAUCUGUGCCUGCCAACAUGGCCCACCCCCAAGGCCCACCCCCGAGUCCCCCCACAUGGAC